rnacentral:lncRNA from 1 species
UCAAUGAGAAGGCUCAAGUCUUUUGCUUUUAAACCCUGGACAAGCCAGAAGCUGGUCAGGUUCCAGGAGUCCAUGGUGGUUGUUGGGAUGGCUCCCAGGUGUGUCUGGGUCUCUUCCUGUAGGGAUUAAAUAAAUGCUUUCUCUCUGUACCUGAUGAUGUCUGAUAAGUUAAUUGGGAAGGGGAGGUCUUGCACCUAAUCUGUCCCACACACAUUGGUGGGGGGGAAAAAGAGUAGAAAGCUGUAUAAGAUAAUUUCUUAGUUUUUCAAAGUAACCAUUAAUCUAUCCUGAGCCUUUGCAUUUUAGGGGGGGUUAAGCUGACUCUUGCUUUCCCUUUUCCCUGAGGUUAUAUCCUCCCCCCUCCUACAGAUGCACCCUUUUGAUAAGAUUGUGAAAAAUACAGUGAUUGAUGAUUUAGCAUGAUUAUCUUACACAAAGGUGUUUAAUAAUAGCAUUUAUUUAUUGAAGUGUAAUCUUAAAACACUUAAAAUAUUUUUCUUAUCUACAAUACUCGGUGUUUUGGAAAACACUGGCAUGAUGGAAGAGCACUGAAGAUUGGAUUCAGUAAAGUGGUUUUGAGUUCAUAGUUUUCCUACCAACUCAUAGCUUUGGAUAAGUCACUGAACCUUCAUUCUAAUUUGUAAAAUGAGGGAAUUGGACUAAAUGUUCUCUAAAAUGACUUCUAGCUCUUAAGAUUCUGUGAGUCUAUAAUAAUACCUUUCCUUGGGUAUUUGAUGUUUUCUGCUAUCCCAAGUCAUCCCACUUCAUGGUCACUACUUCUAAUCAAACUUUCUAUUCUUUUUAUGCACUUAAAACUGGAAAAUUAUGCAAUUAGAUGAGUGAAUUUAUUUGUAAUGGUGAGAUAGAAUUUGUAGCAAAAUAGUGUUGGAUUUGGAAGCCUGGUUUAAUACAGUUUUAAACAGUUGCUAAUGUGAAAAGAUGUUUACUUUUAUUUUUCUCCUAUGUAAAAUGGUGUUUGUUGUAAGGAAAAUACUUUGAAAAUUUCAGUGUCUCUCCUGAAUCUGUCAUUUCUGGGCUAACACCACGACUUAAAUAUUCAAGGUCAAUCCUUUUAUCCUCUCAUUUAUUUCUUUUUACCCCCUUUCCCUGCUUCUCAUUUCCCCUUUUCAAAACUCAGGAAAAUGCCAGGUCCUUAUAUCUUCUAAAAUCACACACACACACAAAAGCCAUAAUGAUAAAUAUAAUUUUAAGUUCUAUAUGCCAUAGACUGAAUUAUGUAUUUUUAAAAGUUUAUCCUAUUUAAGUAUGGUCCAUUUAAUUAGAACUUUUUCUAAAAUAAAUUAAGAAAAAGAGAAAGAAAGAUAGCGAGAGAGAAAGAAAAAAAGAAAGAAAAUUAUAAAGGCAAUAAUGCACCCUGGAAGUUUCCCUUUAGUCAGUCAACCACUAAAUAUGAAUGUAAGCCAUCUAUUACGUGCCAGGUUUUAUGCUGCUAAUUUCAAGAGAUACAAAGGCAUCCAAAAAACAGUCCCUAUAAAAUUAAAACUAUAUAAACCAGAUAUAUUCAAGAACUGAUUGGAAACUGUCAGAGGGAAGUUGUAAUUCAUUUCUCAAUGAUCAUUUUUAUGUCUCCUCUGUUUUCCCUCAAUGCAUUUUCAUAUAACUGUCCAAAACGCAAAUAAUUAAAUUGUGAAGAUCUAUUUUAAAGCUUUUCCUCUGAUUGUAAAUUUAUUUCUUUUAAUGAAAAAGUAAAUUGGUGUUUUGUUUCAAUUAUUAGUGUACUUAAAAAUAAUCCAGUUAUUUGAUCAUCAACUGUUUUCAAUAAUGCUAAAAAAGAAAUAGAUAGUCUUUUAAGUAUUCUAAAAAAAUUAAAGAUUGUAUUUAAUGUUAACAAGAAAGAAUAAGUUCUUUAUCCAUCAAAUAACUAUACCACAGUUAUCAUUUUUUAUGUAAAAUAUAGAUGUUGAAUACAAAAUUAUUCAGGUUUUAGUCAAAGUUAAUUAUUUUGCUUAAAUCUUUUAUUUUUUUCUAAGUACAUGUAAAGAUAUCUUUCAACAUUCAUUUUUUUAUUUUCUUUUUUUUUUAAAUUAUAGCUUUUUAUUUACAAUUUAUAUGCAUGGGUAAUUUUACAGUAUUGAAAAUUGCCAAACCUUUUGUUCCAAUUUUUCCCCUCCUUCCACACCCCCCACCUUUCCCCUAGAUGGCAGGAUGACCCGUACAUAUAAAAUAUAUUAAAGUAUAAAUUAAAUACAAAAUAAGUUUACAUGUGUAAACUGUUACUUUGCUUUACAAAAAGAAUCAGACUCUGAAAUAUUGUACAAUUAGCUUAUGAAGGAAAUUAAAAAAAAAUGCAGGCAGGCAAAAUAGAGGGAAGAAUUCAAUGUAAUGGUUCUUAGUAAUCACCCAGAGUUAUUUUAUGGUGCCAGCUGGGAUUCAGUUCAUUGCCGCCACUUAAGAACUGAUUUGGUUUAUCUCAUUGCUGAAGAUGACCAGGUCCAUCA